GAUCACCUACAUGUGCCCUGGAGGGGACGGGCCUGUAAAACCCUUUUUAGAAAAGAUGAGCAGGGCAUAUGAGUACAUUAUUAAAAAUUCUCAAAGGAUGCAAUUGCCAGAAGCUCCCAGCCCAUCUCCAACUCCACAGUCUACCACCUCUCCCUCCCAACCCUCUUCUCCUACUCAUCCUCCAGACCCUUCCACCUUUCUCCCAUCUACUUCUCAUCCCCAAAUGGACUAUGAGGAGGAGACUUACACCCUAACCCUCAUCCCUGUCCAGCCUCCAAGCACCGCCUCAGCAUCUCUCCCUCAAAACACCAUGACUGAAAGGAAGAGAAGAGGUAAAAGUGAGCUGGCUGCCUUGUUCCUCAUGGUGAUCCUAAUUUGACCUUCGCUAGACUAUCUUUAAGAAGAUAAGUCUGUGUGGAAAGGACUGUUCAAACGGAAGCCAAACAAAAAAGAGGCUGAAGAAAAGGGUUUGGAUGAGACUGACAAGUCAGACAGCAAUCUCCUAUUGCCUCAAUGUGCACCACUGAGGACAUAGAGGGUCCAGCAAAAGCAGACCUGAGCUCUGUCCCUCUGGAGUUGGUGAAUGUGGAGGUAAAUGAUGACGAGGUCAUGAGGAACUACAUCAUCAGAGAAAUUGACGCAGGACUAGGAACCUCCCUGAACAUCGGGACUGCUUCAAAAGCAGACCUGAACUCUGUCCCUUUUGAACUUCUGGACGUGGAGGAAAAUGAGAUCGUACCAGAAGAUAAACUAGAUCAUAAAUCCACCAGCAGCUCGUCUCCACCACACCUUCACAGUGAGAGGUCUUCAGUUGCAGAGGAAGACCUACGUUUUGUCCCUCUGGAGAUGGAGGACCCCUCUGCAUCACGACGGACAACGUGUUACAUAUGGUGCUGGCUGCACGGCUUAAUGAAUGGAGGAGGCUCCAGUGUUUUGGGCACAGAUUACAUCUUGCCAUUGAAAAUGCACUCAAGGAUGACAGAGUGUCAAGGGCAACAGCACUGUGCAGGAAGCUGGUGGGGCACUUAUCCCACAGUUGGAAGAAGAAGGCAGCACUGACGGAGGCACAGAGGAAGCUCAAACUCCCUGAGCACAACCUCAUAACUGAGUGCUCAAUAAGAUGGGGAUCUAAAGAAAUGAUGAUUGCCAGAGUGCUUGAAUAGACCUGAAAUCUGUCCUUUUGGAACUUCUGGACGUGGAGAAUGAGGAGAUCCUACCAGAAGAUCAACAAGAUCAAAAAUCCACCAGCAGCUCGUCCCCACCACACCUUCACAGAAAGAGGUUUCCAGUGGCAGAGAAAGACCUGAGCUCUGUUCCUCUGGAGUUUACAGAUAUGGAC